UUCUCUCCUUCUCCAUAAAACCAUCACUAACUACUGAAAAUCCCCAUUCUUCACUUGCAAGAAAUCCCUCAUUUCUCCGCCAAAGAUUCCAUUUCAGGUCACAAUGAGUGAAGAAAAAGAACACGAAGAUGCCAUUCAAGAUCUGAUGAGUAAAGCAAUAGAAAUCCUCAUCUUCGAGGACAAAUUGGCCUUUGAUAAGAGUAAUGAAGAUUAUGCACAGAUGGCAUUUGAGGAAUUGAUCGAGUUAACCAAGGAGAGACCAGAUUUGUUCUUGCCGCAUCUUAAAGAUAUGUUUCAAUGUAUUUAUCAAAUCUUGGACAAUUCUGAAUUUGAAGAGAAAACAAGGUUUCUUGCUGAGGAACUUAUGGUGCUACUUCUCUUGCAUUAUAGAGAUGAGAAGCCGGUGCUUUUGCGAACUGGGAAGUUUAUUUCUCAAAUACUUUCUAGGCUUCAGGACAUUGAUGAUGACCCUUCUUGGGAUGGGAACGACAACUUUGAUGAUGAUUCGAGGGUAUUUGUUCAGGGAGUAAAAAGAUUGGCUCAAUAUGCACCUGCCAUUGGUGGCCAAUUUAUUCUGGAGAAAUUCAAGAUAAUGUUUGAUUUCAACUUCUUUUCUGAGAAAUGGCAAAGCCGCCAUGCUGCCGUUAUAUCAUGCUCCAUUAUUGCAAGGAAUUGCCCAAAGGUAUCUGGGUUGGGGCUACCUUCUCUUCCAAUUUCAUGUUUAUAUUCUGAGUUCAAAAUCUUUAAGUUUCUUUAUCCUCAUUUGAUGGAGUACAAGUUGUUGAAGCAAAAAAAUUUGCAGCUUCUGCGUUGUUUGUCCCAUUUUUGUAAUCAUAUAUGUUAUUUUAU
rnacentral:misc_RNA from 1 species